GACGAACGCUGGCGGCGUGCCUAAUACAUGCAAGUCGAGCGGACGGACGGGAGCUUGCUCCCAGACCGUCAGCGGCGGCCGGGUGAGUAACACGUGGGCACCUUGCCUGUACGUCUGGGUUAACUCCGGGAACCGGGGGCUAAAACCGGAUAACUCUUCUCCUCCCAUGAGGGAAAGCUGAAAGAUGGCCUCUCGCUAUUACUCACAGAUGUGCUCGCGGCGCAUGAGCUAGUUGGGGUGGUAACGGCUCACCAAGGCGGCGAUGCGUAGCCGACGGGAGGGGGUGGUCGGCGGCACGAGGACUUGGACACGGCCCAGGCGCCUACGGUAGGCAGCAGUAGGGUAUCUGCCGCAGUAGACGAGAGUCUUGCGGAACGACGCCGCGUGAGUGAUGGAGGUGUUCGGAGCGUAAAACUCUGUUGUGAGUGAAGAACAAGUACCGGAUGAACUGCCGGUAGCGUGACGGUACCGGGUCAGAAAGCCACGGCUAACUACGUG
rnacentral:rRNA from 1 species